AAGGCUUUAGCUUAAUUAAAGUGUCUGUUUUGCAUACAGGAGAUGUGAGAUAGUGUCUCGCAAGUCUUA
rnacentral:tRNA from 1 species